rnacentral:misc_RNA from 1 species
UGAAGAACGUAGUGAAAUGCGAUACGUAAUGUGAAUUGCAGAAUUCAGUGAAUCAUCGAAUCUUUGAACGCACAUUGCGCCUGCCAGCACUCUGGCAGGCAUGCCUGUUCGAGCGUCAUUUCAACCAUCAAGCCCUAGGCUUGCGUUGGAGCCCUGCGGCUGCCGCAGGCCCCUAAAAGCAGUGGCGGGCUCGCUAUCACACCGAGUGCAGUAGAUUACUCUUCGCUCAGGGCGUGUGGCGGGUUCCAGCCGUGAAACCCCCUACUUCUCAAGGUUGACCUCGGAUCAGGUAGGAAUACCCGCUGAACUUAAGCAUAUCAAUAAGCGGAGGA